GAUGAACGCUGGCGGCGUGCCUAAUACAUGCAAGUCGAGCGAACAGAUGAUGAUUUUGCUCCUCUCACGUUAGCGGCGGACGGGUGAGUAACACGUGGAUAACCUACCUAUAAGACUGGGAUAACUUCGGGAAACCGGAGCUAAUACCGGAUAAUAUCUUGAACCGCAUGGUUCAAUAGUGAAAGACGGUUUUGCUGUCACUUAUAGAUGGAUCUGCGCCGCAUUAGCUAGUUGGUAAGGUAACGGCUUACCACGGCAACGAUGCGUAGACGACCUGAGAGGGGGAUAGGCCACACUGGAGCGUGACCAGGGACAAGGGGCCUACGAGAGGCAGCAGUAGGGUACGGUCCGCAGCAGGCGAAAGUCUUGCGGAGUGAGGGCAAGUGAGUGAUGAAGGUCUUCGGAUCGUAAAACCGUGUUAUGAGGUGAGAACCGAUGUCUACGUAGCUAAGGACGGCGUGACGGUACCUGGUAAGAAAGCCACGGCUAACUACGUG
rnacentral:rRNA from 1 species